AAAUUGAAGAGUUUGAUCAUGGCUCAGAUUGAACGCUGGCGGCAGGCCUAACACAUGCAAGUCGAACGGUAACAGGAAGCAGCUUGCUGCUUUGCUGACGAGUGGCGGACGGGUGAGUAAUGUCUGGGAAACUGCCUGAUGGAGGGGGAUAACUACUGGAAACGGUGGCUAAUACCGCAUAACGUCGCAAGACCAAAGAGGGGGACCUUCGGGCCUCUUGCCAUCAGAUGUGCCCAGAUGGGAUUAGCUUGUUGGUGAGGUAACGGCUCACCAAGGCGACGAUCCCUAGCUGGUCUGAGAGGAUGACCAGCCACACUGGAACUGAGACACGGUCCAGACUCCUACGGGAGGCAGCAGUGGGGAAUAUUGCACAAUGGGCGCAAGCCUGAUGCAGCCAUGCCGCGUGUAUGAAGAAGGCCUUCGGGUUGUAAAGUACUUUCAGCGGGGAGGAAGGUGUUGUGGUUAAUAACCGCAGCAAUUGACGUUACCCGCAGAAGAAGCACCGGCUAACUCCGUGCCAGCAGCCGCGGUAAUACGGAGGGUGCAAGCGUUAAUCGGAAUUACUGGGCGUAAAGCGCACGCAGGCGGUCUGUCAAGUCGGAUGUGAAAUCCCCGGGCUCAACCUGGGAACUGCAUUCGAAACUGGCAGGCUUGAGUCUUGUAGAGGGGGGUAGAAUUCCAGGUGUAGCGGUGAAAUGCGUAGAGAUCUGGAGGAAUACCGGUGGCGAAGGCGGCCCCCUGGACAAAGACUGACGCUCAGGUGCGAAAGCGUGGGGAGCAAACAGGAUUAGAUACCCUGGUAGUCCACGCCGUAAACGAUGUCUACUUGGAGGUUGUGCCCUUGAGGCGUGGCUUCCGGAGCUAACGCGUUAAGUAGACCGCCUGGGGAGUACGGCCGCAAGGUUAAAACUCAAAUGAAUUGACGGGGGCCCGCACAAGCGGUGGAGCAUGUGGUUUAAUUCGAUGCAACGCGAAGAACCUUACCUGGUCUUGACAUCCACAGAACUUUCCAGAGAUGGAUUGGUGCCUUCGGGAACUGUGAGACAGGUGCUGCAUGGCUGUCGUCAGCUCGUGUUGUGAAAUGUUGGGUUAAGUCCCGCAACGAGCGCAACCCUUAUCCUUUGUUGCCAGCGGUCCGGCCGGGAACUCAAAGGAGACUGCCAGUGAUAAACUGGAGGAAGGUGGGGAUGACGUCAAGUCAUCAUGGCCCUUACGACCAGGGCUACACACGUGCUACAAUGGCGCAUACAAAGAGAAGCGACCUCGCGAGAGUAAGCGGACCUCAUAAAGUGCGUCGUAGUCCGGAUUGGAGUCUGCAACUCGACUCCAUGAAGUCGGAAUCGCUAGUAAUCGUGGAUCAGAAUGCCACGGUGAAUACGUUCCCGGGCCUUGUACACACCGCCCGUCACACCAUGGGAGUGGGUUGCAAAAGAAGUAGGUAGCUUAACCUUCGGGGGGGCGCUUACCACUUUGUGAUUCAUGACUGGGGUGAAGUCGUAACAAGGUAACCGUAGGGGAACCUGCGGUUGGAUCACCUCCUUACCUUAAAGAAGC
rnacentral:rRNA from 1 species